UUACAAGAUGAAAAAGUUCUGGAGAUUGGUUGCGCAACAAUGUAUACAUACUUCACACUACUGAACUGUGCAGUUAAAAAUGGUUCAGAUGUGAAAUUUUAUGUUAU